GCCUUGGCUUCCCAAAGUGCUGGGAUUACAAGCAUAAGCCACCGCACCGGGCUAUCUUCAGGUCAUUUUAACAAUACCCCUGAGCCACCUGAAGCUUCCUCCCUGUCUUCUCACCCCAAACUUCAUAAAUCCCCUGUGACUUAAAAUGGAGCUAGUCUCAUGGGUCCAGCAACCUCCUCAGCUGCGUAUUGAAUGGUCCCAUUUCUUUGGUCCAUUCAACACUCAGGAAGGGUGGUCCACAGGGAAAUAGAAGUCAUCGGAGCCUUAUGGCCCCACCCUGACCACUUGAGGGCCAGGGUUAGGAUUGAGCUCUUUGUAUACAAUGCCAGGGAAUGCGGUAGCUGGACCUGUGCACAAGACCAAGAUCACAUCCCUGAGGCCCCGACAUCUCCCCUGUGUGCUCACAAGUCUGACUUUGAGACCCACCAUUGCCCUUUUUUGCUGACUGCUGCAGCCAACAAAAAGGCAUUCUCUCCCAGUGGACAGACCUCAGAAAGGACCUAUUCAUAAGUGAGUUGUGCUGUUCCCUCCCUGGCAGGGUGGGGCAGAGGGACUGAGGAAAGUUCUGCAGACCUGGGAACAGCAAGAAAAUCUGCGGUUGCUGCCCUCCCACUCUGUAGACCCAGGGUCCUGACAAUUCAAAGGUUAAGUCUUGAGACCUUGCAAAAGGGAAGGAUCCCUUCAGAGUUUGCUUGGAUGGAUUUCUCUCCAGAUAUUGCCAGGGGAAAGGGAGCAUACAGAAAUAGUGAUAGUCCACAGUUGUUUGGUUCCAGAGCAGUGGUUCUCAAACUUCAUUGUGCAUAGCAAGCUCCUGGAGUGCCCCGUUAAAUUGCAGAUUUCUGGGCUUCACCUCCCAAGAUGAAUUAAGUGUGAAGUAGGACUCCAGAUGUGCAUUUAAAACAGGCCUAGGGUCACAUCUUGCCCCAAAGUUACGAGGCCAACUUGGAGUAGUGGUGCCCACCUGUAAUCCCAGCUACUCAGGAGGCUGAGGCUGGUCGCUUGAAGCCAAGAGUUCAAGACCAGCCUGGGCAAUGUAUCAGGAGUGUUUCUUAAUGUUUCAGAUUAUUUACUGGCAAGAUGAGCAGGAUUACCAUGAAAGAAAAGUCCAGAUGGACUGUGGAAAUCCUACACUGAUUCUCCAAACUUGGCAGCUGAAUGUAUGGAGGGCUCAUGAUGAAGAAACCUCUUUUGUCAUCCUGAGGAUUCUCUGAUCCGUAUUCGCCUAGAUGUGCUGGAAAUGGUAGUGGACCAAGGUGCAAACUUGGUCUAGUGAGGAUAGAGUCCAGAAGUGGAAUUACUGGAUCAAAGGGUAUAAAGCUCUCUAAGUUUCUUGAAACAGUGCCAAAAUAUUUUGUAGAAAAGUUUUCACCAUUUUACACUGAAGGUCAGUAUCUUUCAAUGAGCUUUGUAACUGCCCCUGAGAGAAGAGGGGAAACAGCCCCAGCCCAGCAAGCUUGGGAAGCUCGGAAGGCCGUCCCUGCAGCUGUGUGGCCCCUCCAGAGGGAGGUGGGAGAGGCAUGGGGAUUCCUCUUGCAGUGCUGCCUCCGUUUCCCCUCCGCCGGUAGGGCCACCGUCCUGUUUCCUAAUCCUUUGAGUUCAUUUUUUAAGAUCCCUGGAGAAACAAUGGCCCAGGGAUGGACGAUGUUAGUUGUAAAGGUGGUGCGGCGCAGGGAGGGGGGAAUCCUUAUGUUUGAGCAAAGGUAGGAGUUGUUCAACAAGAACCCAACACUUGGAGAUCCUUAACAGAAACAUCUGCCUGUUCCAACAUGAGUUUCAGAGAUGGUGAGAGUAACGGGAGAGAGCUGGGUAGGAGUUGUAGAAGGCAUUGCAGGCUUUCCCCUCCAGCUAGACAGCUGCAGCCCCUUUAAGGACAAAUGCGGGACCUGGUCCUUUAAAUCUGUGUCAGUUUCCCCUGACGUCAGCGGGCGGGCCAGCAGCCCUGCUGUUUAUCGCCCAGCGGCGCAGCUCACUUUCCAGUGUUUGUGCGUCGGGGCGGCGCGUCCGCCCGCUCUUAAAGGGCCCGCACCUCGGAAAACUCGCAGCCCAGCACGGCGUCGGGUCGCUACCACCUAUCGCGCCCCUCACCCCGCGACUCGCCUCCCUCAGCGGCCAGCCCCCGUCGCCUGCUCUUCCUCCCUCCCCUUUCCCGGCGUCUCCGGGCUCCCGGCAACCAGCCGCCCUCCUCCUCACGGCCCUGGCCCGGGGCUCCAGGGUCUCAGGCCGUACUCAGCCCCUCGCGAGCUGGGACCCCUGCCCAUAGCCCGCAUCCCCUCCCUCCCCGCCCCCUCCCGGCCGCCCCCUCCCCUGCGGGGACCCUGGGAGCCUCUCCGCGGCUCUUGGGAGGGGACAUUUCCUAAUCUCAGGCCAGGGUUAAAGUUCUGGUCCUGGUGAGAUGCUGGAAGCUGCGGCCGCAGCCGCAACCCGUCCCGGAGGUGUCCUGUCGCCUGUCGCCUUCGCCGCCUCCACCACCGCUGCCACUGCCGCCCUGCCGGGGCCAUGUUCGCUCUGGGCUUCCCCUUCUUGGUGUUCUUGGUGGCCUCGGUCGAGAGCUAUCUGGGGGUUCUGGGGCCCAAGAACGUCUCGCAGAAAGACGCCGAGUUUGAGCGCACCUACGUGGACGAGGUCAACAGCGAGCUGGUCAACAUCUACACCUUCAACCAUACUGUGACCCGCAACCGGACAGAGGGCGUGCGUGUGUCCGUGAACGUCCUGAACAAGCAGAAGGGGGCGCCUUUGCUGUUUGUGGUCCGCCAGAAGGAGGCUGUGGUGUCCUUCCAGGUGCCCCUAAUCCUGCGAGGGAUGUUUCAGCGCAAGUACCUCUACCAAAAAGUGGAACGAACCCUGUGUCAGCCCCCUACCAAGAAUGAGUCGGAGAUUCAGUUCUUCUACGUGGAUGUGUCCACCCUGUCACCAGUCAACACCACGUACCAGCUCCGGGUCAGCCGCAUGGACGAUUUUGUGCUCAGGACCGGGGAGCAGUUCAGCUUCAAUACUACAGCAGCACAGCCCCAGUACUUCAAGUAUGAGUUCCCUGAAGGCGUGGACUCGGUAAUUGUCAAGGUGACCUCCAACAAGGCCUUCCCCUGCUCAGUCAUCUCCAUCCAGGAUGUGCUGUGUCCUGUCUAUGACCUGGACAACAACGUAGCCUUCAUCGGAAUGUACCAGACGAUGACUAAGAAGGCGGCCAUCACAGUACAGCGCAAAGACUUCCCCAGCAACAGCUUUUAUGUGGUGGUGGUGGUGAAGACCGAAGACCAAGCAUGCGGGGGCUCCCUGCCUUUCUACCCCUUCGUAGAAGAUGAACCGGUCGAUCAAGGGCACCGCCAGAAAACCCUGUCAGUGCUGGUGUCUCAAGCAGUCACAUCUGAGGCCUACGUCAGUGGGAUGCUCUUUUGCCUGGGUAUAUUUCUCUCCUUUUACCUGCUGACCGUCCUCCUGGCCUGCUGGGAGAACUGGAGGCAGAAGAAGAAGACCCUGCUGGUGGCCAUUGACCGAGCCUGCCCAGAAAGCGCUUCUCUCCUUGGUCACCCUCGAGUCCUGGCUGAUUCUUUUCCUGGCAGUUCCCCUUAUGAGGGUUACAACUAUGGCUCCUUUGAGAAUGUUUCCGGAUCUACGGAUGGUCUGGUUGACAGCGCUGGCGCUGGGGACCUCUCUUAUGGUUACCAGGGGCACGACCAGUUCAAGCGGCGCCUCCCCUCUGGCCAGAUGCGGCAGCUGUGCAUUGCCAUGGGCCGCUCCUUUGAACCUGUGGGUACUCGGCCCCGAGUGGACUCCAUGAGCUCUGUGGAGGAGGAUGACUAUGACACAUUGACCGACAUUGAUUCCGACAAGAAUGUCAUUCGCACCAAGCAAUACCUCUAUGUGGCCGACCUGGCACGGAAGGACAAGCGUGUUCUGCGGAAAAAGUACCAGAUCUACUUCUGGAACAUCGCCACCAUUGCUGUCUUCUAUGCCCUUCCUGUGGUGCAGCUGGUGAUCACCUACCAGACGGUGGUGAAUGUCACAGGGAAUCAGGACAUCUGCUACUACAACUUCCUCUGCGCCCACCCGCUGGGCAACCUCAGCGCCUUCAACAACAUCCUCAGCAACCUGGGGUACAUCCUGCUGGGGCUGCUUUUCCUGCUCAUCAUCCUGCAGCGGGAGAUCAACCACAACCGGGCCCUGCUGCGCAACGACCUCUAUGCCCUGGAAUGUGGGAUCCCCAAACACUUUGGGCUGUUCUACGCCAUGGGCACAGCCCUGAUGAUGGAGGGGCUGCUCAGUGCUUGCUAUCACGUGUGCCCCAACUAUACCAAUUUCCAGUUCGACACAUCGUUCAUGUACAUGAUCGCCGGACUCUGCAUGCUGAAGCUCUACCAGAAGCGGCACCCGGACAUCAACGCCAGUGCCUACAGUGCCUACGCCUGCCUGGCCAUCGUCAUCUUCUUCUCUGUGCUGGGCGUGGUCUUUGGCAAAGGGAACACGGCGUUCUGGAUUGUCUUCUCCAUCAUUCACAUCAUUGCCACCCUGCUCCUCAGCACGCAGCUCUAUUACAUGGGCCGCUGGAAACUGGACUCGGGGAUCUUCCGCCGCAUCCUCCACGUGCUCUACACAGACUGCAUCCGGCAGUGCAGCGGGCCGCUCUACGUGGACCGCAUGGUGCUGCUGGUCAUGGGCAACGUCAUCAACUGGUCACUGGCUGCCUAUGGGCUCAUCAUGCGCCCCAACGAUUUCGCCUCCUACUUGUUGGCCAUUGGUAUCUGCAACCUGCUUCUUUACUUCGCCUUCUACAUCAUCAUGAAGCUCCGGAGUGGGGAAAGGAUCAAGCUCAUCCCCCUGCUCUGCAUCGUCUGCACCUCGGUGGUCUGGGGCUUCGCACUCUUCUUCUUCUUCCAGGGGCUUAGCACCUGGCAGAAAACCCCUGCGGAGUCAAGGGAGCACAACCGGGACUGCAUCCUCCUCGACUUCUUUGACGACCACGACAUCUGGCACUUCCUCUCCUCCAUCGCCAUGUUCGGGUCCUUCCUGGUGUUGCUGACACUGGAUGACGACCUGGACACUGUGCAGCGGGACAAGAUCUAUGUCUUCUAGCAGGAGCUGGGCCCUUCGCUUCACCUCAGGGGGCCCUGAGCUCCUUUAUGUCACAGACCGGGCACUCUGUCGUGCUGUGGUGAUGAGUCCCAGCACCGCUGCCCAGCACUGGAUGGCAGCAGGACAGCCAGGUCUAGCCUAGGCUUGGCCUGGGACAGUCAUGGGGUGGCAUGGAGCCUUGCAGCUGUCCUCUGCCAAGGAGGAGGCCUGCUCCCCUGGAACCCCCGGACACUGGCCAAAUUGCUGCUUUCUUCUCAGUGUUGGGGCCUUCUAUGGGCCCCAUCCUUUGGCUCUCCAUUUGUCCCUCUGCAAGAGGAAGGAUGGAAGGAACACCCUCCCCAUUUCAUGCCUUGCAUUUUGCCCGUCCUCCUCCCCACAAUGCCCCAGCCUGGGACCUAAGGCCCCUUUUUCCUCCCAUACUCCCGCUUCAGGGCCUAGUCUGGGGCCUGAAUCUCUGUCCUGUAUCAGGGCCCCAGUUCUCUUUGGGGCUGUCCCUGGCUGUCAUCACUGCCCAUUCCAGUCAGCCAGGAUGGAUGGGGGUAUGAGAUUUUGGGGGUUGGCCAACUGGUGCCAGACUUUUGGUGCUAAGGCCUGCAAGGGGCCCGGGGCGGUGAGUACUACCUUCCCUCUGACCUGUGCUCAGGGCUGGCUCUUUAGCAAUGCGGUCAGCCCAAUUUGAGAACAGCCUUCUGAUUCAAGAGGCUGAGUUCAGAGGUCACCUCCUCGUCCCAUCAGCCCCCAGACUGAUGCCAGCACCAGGACUGGAGGGAGAAGCACCUCACCUCUUCCCUUCCUUCUUUCCAGGCCCUUAGUCCUGCCAAGCCCCAGCUGGGGGCCUUUCAGUGCCAUUGACGCUGCCCAAGAAUGUCCAGGGGCAAAGGAGGGACGGUACAAAGAGUUCAGCUCGUGCCGCCUCCACAGCCGCGGGCGCCCCAGUGCCUGCCUUAGAAAGGGGCUUCAGGAAGGGAUGCGCUGUUUCCCUGUAUGUGCCCAGUCCUAGCCUCGUUCUAGGACCCAGGGCUGGCUUCUGAGUUUCCGUCCAGUCUUCAGCCAAGUUCUGUUAGUCACGCACACACAUGCCUACGAAACCUUGGAGUUUACACUGAGUUGCCCCAGCUCUGGGUGCCCUGGCCACCCUGGUCCUUGGAGCCCCUUCGUCCCACCUGGUCCGCUCCAGAUGCCAAGGAUGGGGCAGCUCAGGAACAGCAGUCUCUGCCCACCUGACCCUGCCCGCCAGACUGAGGCUCGCUUCAUCUCUGACCCGAGUGCCCCCCAGCUCACCAGGCCACAGGCCCAGGCAGUGCUCCCUGAUGGGGCGUUUGUAAUCUGCUGAGCAUGCAGGCUGAGGCAGGAGGGUGAUGGAAGCUGGGCAGGUUCCAAGAGGAGGGAGUUUUGAUAUGUCCCUGAAAGGUUCAUUGAGACUUCAGUCAGCUAAGGAGGACACGAUUUGGAGGCCAAGGAGUUUGGUGAAUUCAGAACACAACCAGAGGUCUGCGGCGUCAGGGAUGGAGGAGUGGGCUUUUUCCCCUUGCCGGGGCCCCGCUCCUCUUCCUGCUCUUCCCGCAGGCGCCACUGGGAGGUGCUAUGGCUGUGCCUCCCCUGGGCUCGAGCGCGUCUGGCUGCAGUGGGUGGAACUGCAGAGGAUCCCUGAAGCCAGGUACAAGCAAGAUGGGAGUGGGUCAUCUCCGUGGAGGGACAGAGGCUGGUCUGUUUUCCAGGCUGGUAGGGACUGUUACUAAAGGGAGGAAGGGAUACCAGCCUCCUGAGUCUCCUGUUCCUGCGUUAGUGUCUCAGGCCCUGCCAGGCCUUAGAGACCCUCUUAUUGACACUGCCCACUGGAUGGGGACCAGAGUUGGACACAGCUUCUGCCGAACCCUCAAAUCCCAGCCUAAAGCAUGUAACUCAAGACCUACCUGAACUGAAAGCUCUUCUCAAUCUGGGCAGUGUGGUACAAUUGAAAGGGUGGGUCUGACCACCUCUCCUGCACCCACGGGAGUCGGCAGAGGUGCGCAGGAUCUGCCACUCACCAUUCACCAUGUGGCCUUGAGGAAGAUGCACUCGGGGCCUCAGUUUCCUCAUCUGUAAAAUGGGGAUGUAAUUACAUCCUCACAAUGUA